rnacentral:lncRNA from 1 species
GAGAUAGUAUCUCAUUGUGGUUUUGAUUUGCAUUUCUCUGAUGGCCGGUGAUGACGAGCAUUUUUUUCAUGUGUCUGUUGGCUGCAUAAAUGUCUUCUUUUGGGAAGUGUCUGUUCAUAUCCUUCGCCCACUUUUUGAUGGGGUUGUUUGAUUUUUUCUUGUAAAUUUGUUUAAUUUCUUUGUAGAUUCUGGAUAUUAGCCCUUUGUCAGAUGGCUAGAUUGCAAAACUUUUCUCCCAUUCUGUAGGUUGCCUGUUCACUCUGACGGUAGUUUCUUUUGCUGUGCAGAAGCUCUUUAGUUUAAUUAGAUCUGCAGGGGGGUUAUAUUAAGUGUAUAUUCAAAUUCUAGAUCUGUGGGUUCUUGCAAAGUUCAUAUUUGUAGUAAACCAUAAAUUGCAAAUGUCAUUAAACAUAUAUUCAAUUAGAGAAAUAAUUAAAUUGUUAACCAUGAAUUUUGGCAGUUUUCCAACUAUGGUCAGCAAAAACAGCUGAUUUAAUCAAUUGUGAUUAUAGAUCAAAAGAUGCAUGACCAAAGCUUUUACAUGUGUGACUGAAUGAGAAAGCAUAUUUUUAUUCACUGAAAAUAAAAUUCCUUUUAGGGAAGGAACAGUCCUUACUUAGGAAAAUAAAGAUAUGCAAAUUUUAGGUCACUUGGAGUUGGAAAGAAAAACACCAGGAAUUGAAGAAGAUUUAACAAAAAUACUAGAGUGACAUUACUCUCUCUCUCUCUCUCUAUAUAUAUAUAUAUAGGAUGAUAAGCCAGCAUUUUGAAUCUUGAAAGUAGCAAUGAGAAGGGAAAGAGAGAGAUGGAGUCAAAUAACAUGGAAAGAACCCGGAACCAGAAUGGCCAGAAUUGUCUAAAAGACUUAAAAAAAAACAAAGAUAACAAAGGGCAGUAAUUAUUAUAAUAGUACUGUUAAAGACGAUGAAGACUUACAGACAUGGAGACAAAGAAGAAUUGAAGUGGAUAUGAGCAAAAUAAAUAUCUUUUCCUCCUACUUAUCCAGAAUUCUCAAAAGAUAUUAAUUAUUUUGACAAGCAGCAGGGAAAUGCCAUGAAUAUGUGAACUGAUGAAAACAAAAGCAAUGAUACUUCCAAGGAUGCACCUGACAGCUCUUAAGGGAUCUAGAGAAAUGAGAGAAUUACAGAGAAGAUUUCAAGUGUUUUACUAAUAAACUCAGGUACUGAAUUUAAAGGAAUGCCCGUGGCUUCUACCCUAGAAGAUCUUAAGAGUCUGAAUGGAGGAAGAAAAGCUAAAAAGUAAUGAUAGUGGCAUGUGAGGAAGGUAUAUAAUAGAGGAAGCCAUGUAAACACUAAAGUGCCUCUAUUCCUGUGAAAUAUUCAGAAGAUUAUAUUUGGUUUGUGUCUGAAAGCCCUGUGGCUGUGUGUCACCAAAAAUGGUGUAAAAGGUGGUAGUGCAUCCCGGACAGAGGGGAUAGCAUGGACAAAGACUCCAAGUCAUUAGACUUUUAGUUUGUUGGAAGAACUGGAAGGAAUUUAGUAGGCCCAAGUCAUAGUCGGUGCUUGCCGGUCAACACACCUGCUUUUUCCUUCCUGAAAUUCUCAUGCAAGCUAAUCUCAUCAGCCAAAUUGUUCAACUCCAGAGGUCUAGAGACCUGCUACUCCUACAAAUCCUCCUUUAAAAAUUAUUUUAACUGAUGAAUAAUAGUGUAUAUUUAUGGGGUACAAUGUGAUAUUUUCAUAGAAAUAUACAAUGUGGAAUGACUAAAUCAAGUGAAUUCACAUAUCCAUUACCUAAUUUAUUUACAUGGUGGCACAUUUAAAAUUUACUCUUAGCAAUUUUGAAAUAUACAAUUCAUUAUAAACUAUACUCACCAUGCUGUGUAAAAGAUAUCAAAGACUUAUUCCUCCUGUCUAACUGAAACUUUGUAUCCUUUGAUCACCAUCUCCCCAGUCUUCCAUUUACUCUCUCCCUGACCCUCUGGUAGCCACCAUUCAAUUACUACUUCUAUGAGUUUGACAUUUUUAGAUGUUUGUCUUUCUGUGCCUGGUUUAUUUCACUUAGCAUAAUGUUCUUUGGGUUCUUCCAUGUUGUUGCAAAUGGCAGGAUUUCCUUUAAGGCUGAAUAGUAUUUCAUUUUGUAUAUACUAUUAAUAUAUGCCACAUUUUCUUUAUCCAUUCACCUAUUGAUACACACUUAGGUUGAUAUUGGCUAUUGCAAAUAAUAUCCCAAUGAACAUGGAGGUACAGAUAUCGCUUUGAUUUAUUAAUUUUAAUUUUUUGAUACAUAUCCAGAACUGGGAUUGUUGGAUCAAAUGGUAAUUUAUUUUUAGUUUUUUGAUGAACCUCCAUACUGCUUUCCAUAAUGUACUAAUUUACAUUCCCACCAAUAGUACCAGGGUUCUCUUUUCUCCACAUACUCACUAACACUUGUUAUCGUUUGUAUUUUGAUAAUAGGUAUUCUAAUAGGUGUGAGGUGUAUCUCGUUGUGGUUUUAAUUUGCAUUUCCCUGAUGAGUAGUAACAUGGAGCAUUUUUUCAUGGACCUGUUGGCCAUUUGUAUAUAUUCUUUUGAGCAAUGUCUAUUCAAGUCCUUUGCCCUUUUAAAAAUUUGAUUAUUUGUCUUAUUUGCUAUUCAAUUGUUUGAGUUCCUUAUGUAUUUUGGAUAUUAACCCCUUAUCAGAUAUAUAUGGUUCGCAAAUAUCUUCUCUCACUCUCUGAUUAUUCACCUUUUUAAUUGCUUCCUCUGCUGUGCAGAAGACUUUUAGUUUCAUAUAUUCCCAUUAAUCUAUUUUUGCUUUUGUUACCUGUGCUUUUAACAUCAUAUCCAAAAUAUAAUUGCUCAGAUCAAUGUUGUAGAACUUUCCCCUAUGAUUUCUUCUAGCAGUUUUACAGUUUCAGGUCUUAUAUUUAAGUUUUUAAAUAUAUUCAAGGUUUUACAUAUAUUCACCGCAAUCAAGUGAGAUUAACCCCUGGGAUUAAACCCAUUUUCAGUUGAUUUUUAUGUAUUGUAUGAAAUAUGAACCUAAUUUCACUCUUUUGCAUAUAGAUACACAGUUUUCUCAACUGGAUCCAGUUUUCUCAUUAAUUGGAGUCUGUCCUUUCCCUAUUAUGUAUUCUUGGAACUUUUAUAAAAAAAUCAAUUGUCAUAAAUGCAUGGGUUUAUUUUUGUACUGUCUAUCCUGUUCCAUUGGUUGAUGUGUCUAUUUUUAUGCAGUACCAUGCUGUUUUAAUUACUGCAACUUUGUAGAAUAUUUUGAUGUCAGGUAAGUAUGAUGCCUCAAGCUUUGUUUUGAUUUGUUUUUUGCUCAAGACUGCUUUGGAUAUUAAGGGUCUUUUGUGGUUCUAUAUGGAUAUUAGAAUUUUUUUUCUAUUUCCAUGAAAAUAAUUACAUUUUAAUAAGGAUUGCAUUGAAUCUGUACAUUGCUUUGGGUAGUAGGGACAUUUUAAUAAUAUUAACUCUUUAAUUCAUGAACACAUGAUAUUUUCCCACUUAUUGGUAUUUUCUUCACUUUCUUUCAUAAGUGUUUUAUUGUUUCUAGUACACAGAUCUUUACCUUCUUGGUUAAAUUUGCACCUAAGUAUUUUUGUUGUUACUGUUGCUGUUGUAAAUGAAAUUGUUUUCUUGAUUUCUUUCUCAGAUAGUUCAUUGUUAUUGUAUAGAUACGCAACUGAUUUUUGUACGUUGAUUUUGUAUCCUGCAACUUUACUGAGUUUGUUUAUUACUUCUAACUGUUUUGGGGUACAGUCUUUAGGAUUUUGUAUAUAUAUAAGUUUAUGUCAGCAAGCAGCGGCAACUUCACUUCUUCCUUUCUUAUUAGGAUCCCCUUUAUUUAUUUUUAUCAUGCUUAAUUCUCUG